rnacentral:lncRNA from 1 species
GUAUAGAAAUGAGUAAAAAAUGAUAAAAAAAAUUUGAGAAAAAAGAUAAGAAAAAAAGGAAGAGAAAAAUAGAAAGGAAGGGAAGAGAAAAAAUAGAAAGCAUGAGAUGCUUGUCCAAAAAAUCAGAUUGUUCAUGUGUUGAACAUAAAAUAUGAUUUGUGUGUAGUGAGAUCUUUUAAAAAAAUAUUCUUAAAGAGAUCUUAGUAGAGGUCAUGAAGGCAUACAAACAAUGAUGUAAUUAGUUCUUGUGAAGGAUGGUCGGC